AUUGUGGCGUCUGAACACACAGAGGAUUGGUGGUUUUAACAGUCAGCUCCUACCACUGAUAAACCAAGCCUUCAGACUCAGUACAGAAUUAAGGUAAAAACCAUUUUCCCCUCAUUAUUAAGCAGGCCUGGGAAAAAUACAAACAAGAUGUACAAUAGAAUGGUCGUGCAUGUGGAUCGUGCCAUACCGAUAAAUAACUUAAGAAUCUCAACUGUGUUGACCAUUGGACCUCAGGAGUGCAAUCCUCAGGGGAUCAUGCAGUUCAAUUCUCAGGGGACCAAACAACAGUUGUGCAAACCUCAGGGAAUGACACAACAGUUGUGCAUGUGCAAACCUCAAGAGACCAUACAGGAGUUCAAUUCUCAGGGGACCAAACAAGAGUUUUGCCAACCUCAGAGGACCAAACAACAGUUGUGCAAACCUCAGGGAAUGACACAACAGUUGUGCAUGUGCAAACCUCAAGAGACCAUACAGGAGUUCAAUUCUCAGGGGACCAAACAAGAGUUUUGCCAACCUCAGAGGACCAAACAACAGUUGUGCAAACCUCAGGGAAUGACACAACAGUUGUGCAUGUGCAAACCUCAAGAGACCAUACAGGAGUUCAAUUCUCAGGGGACCAAACAACAGUUGUGCAAACCUCAGGGAAUUAAACAACAGGAGUUCAAUCUUCAGGGAACUACCUAUUACAAGGUGAUGGAGAAGGCCCACCUAACACCCCGUGAAAAAUACAUUGAGCCUAUCACAACGAACAUGGAAUAUGGAUGGUAUGUCACCAGGCAGAUUUAAUAUUUUUGUUGCGAUCGCCACGCCUGGAAGCGGUAACAAAAACAAACUUCAUCUUUAAAGUGAUUGACCAAUGUCUGUCGCGAUACUUAAGUUCACCAGCGAUCGGAAGGCGGGUUACUGAAGCAGCUAGAUACAGCUGUUGGACAAUGACCCAAUGGGAUAAACAGUUAUCUUUGAGCUUGAACUUUUUCAAAAACCCUCAUCAGACUCAAGAAAAUUUGGACCAGGCUGUGCUUAAAGAGGCCGUGAAUAUGCAUAAGCAGGCCCCAAAACAAUAUUUGUUUUUCUUUUCUUAGAACACAGCAGAGGCCUCAGUCCAAAAGAAAUUCGGAAGGCGGACC
rnacentral:lncRNA from 1 species